rnacentral:tRNA from 1 species
GCGCCCUUAGCUCAGUUGGAUAGAGCGUCUGGCUACGAACGUUGGAUAGAGCGUCUGGCUACGAACCAGAAGGUCGGGAGUUCGAAUCUCUCAGGGCGCACCA